ACACUUGUAUUACCUUUUAAAAAAUAGAACUUGCCGAAAUAAGUUGAAAAGUAGUUACUGUGAGCCUAGGGGUGUUCUCAUUGAGAAGAGAGAGAAAAGCUAUCAUUCCAGAUCUUUCUUUCCACAAAAAUUUUUAACUCCUAAAAUAUACAGGCACUGUUGAGAUGAGAAGCAUAGAUCUUAUCCAAGUUUCUUUAGCGUGUAAGUAAAUCCAUUAAACAAGCCAAAGCAACACAAGGGUGUGUAUUAUCACAAUAUCAGGGGUUUUCGUGGAAACCAAGGAAGCAACAGAAGCCUGACCCCUCAUAGGGACGUGCGGUCAAGAACUGAAAACCCUCAGGUUCCCCAGCAGCUAUUCUGCCUCCAUCUCUGCUUCCCACUGGGUUGCUGCUUCACCCUUUCCUCUUUCCAGAUGGGAUACCCUGCUACGGCUGCCUGUAAAUAGACAACUUCUGAUUACAGAAGUCAUUUUCAAGGACCCCACAGAGAAGGACUAGAUGCUCUUGAUCCAAAUUUUAAAUUCCCUAAACAGAAAGCAUUUCAGGCUGAGCAUGAAUCCAGUGUUGACCGCUUAUGAUCAAAUCAGUGUGGCCAUGGGAAGAAUCAGAUAGGACAAAUAUGCCUGUUUAUAACCCUCCCCAGUGGCUGAGAAGUGGGAGUGAUCCCAGAGAAUAGGGAGAUUGACUACACAGAAACUCAAAAAACUGUUCAACUAUCACACAGCAGCAAGACAAAGUCAGUGCUAAAUUUAGAGUACACAGAAGUUCAGAGGAGAAGGGGUUCUGUGGGGCCGCUAGGAGAGGCUUUGAGUCCCUGGUGGAAUUCUGACUCUGAUCCAACUUCUGCUCACCAACUUCGACUCAGCACCCGAUUCCAAUGUGUGGGGUUUUUUCCCCCUAUCGCCAGCUGGGUGUCCUACAAUUUAACUAGUUCUAACACUAUCUACCUAGAGAUAGUGUCAGAUCCCACAGGUUAAAGGCUCAGUGGUGCAAAACUACCCCAAUCCCCUUCAAAUGGCAAUCGCAAUUCCAGGCUGUCACCUGUGAUUCAGAGGUUCCAACCAACCUCCUCCUUGGGUUCAAUUAAUUUGCUAGAGCAACUCUCAGAACUCAGAGAAAUCUUUUACUUGCUAGAUUAUCAGUUUAUUAUAAAAGGGUAUAACUCAGGAACAGACGGAUGGAAGAGAUGCAUAGCAAGGUAUGGGGUAAGAGGUAUGAAGCCUCCAUGCUCUCUGAUCAUACAACUCUCCCCAAAUCUCUAAGAGUUCAUCAGCCUGUAAGCUCUCUGAACCCCAUCAUCUUAGGUUUUGAUAGAAGCUUCAUCACAUAGCCAUGAUUGAUUAAAUCGCUGGCCAUUGGCCAAUGAGACAACCUCAUCUCCUCUCUCCAACCCAGAGGUGGCGGGUGAGGAUGGUGGUGGAUAUGGGACUGGAACUUUCAACCCUCAGAUCACAUGUUUGUUUCUCUGGGCAACCAGCCCCCAUCCCUAGGUGCUUUCCAAAAGUCACCUCAUUAACAUAACAAAAGACAAUUUUAUUGCUCUCACAACUGGGAAAUUCCAAGGGUUUUAGGAGCUCUGUGCCAGAAAUAGACAAAGACCAAAUAUGUAAAUAUUGGUAAAUUACUAUAUCACAGACUCGAACUUGGCCUUAAGGGAUUUUCAGAGAAGAAAAGGUAAUCCAAACAGGGAGAUCUGAAACCUGGACUCCUACAGAAUGUGAUCUGAUGAAUGAAAGGAUCAUAUUUUGAUAAAAUAUCUAACAACAGAAACAGACACUGAAAAAAAAAAAAACUGGCAUGUUAAAACUACCACUUUUUUGAUCUUCCCAAAGAGAUUAUAAGAUUUAUGCAGUGUCUCAUAGAAUCCUUCCAAAAAACAGAUUAUAAAUGAAAGAAAUGAAAGUUUUAUCACCACAACCAAAAAAUAUUUAGUCAUUGAUUAAAUGAUAAUGCGUUUUUAAAAUCCUAUCUCUCCCUGCUUUUAAAGAACCUCACCUGCCAAAUAAAUCAAUCUAAAUUGCUCCAUAACUUAAAGGUUUACUCAAAAUGCUUGGUUUGUGUUUAUUGCAGUCCACAUAGUGCAAAUAUGAAAAAAAAAAUCUAAUUUACUUAACGGGACGUCUAUAAUUGACUCAGUCUAAUGUAUUUCUGAAAAAUUAAUAAAGCUACUUUUCCUCAUGGCAGUAAGACAGAUAUUAAAUAAAAACAUCUCUCAAGAGUGAAGAGUAGGGACUUCCCUGGUGGCACAGUGGUUAAGAAUCCGCCUGCCAAUGCAGGGGACAUGGGUUCGAGCCCUGGCUCGGGAAGAUCCCACAUGCUGCGAAGCAACUAAGCCUGUGCGCCACAACUACUGAGGUGCACUCUAGAGACCGCGAGCCACAACUACUGAGCCCAUGUGCCACAGCUACUGAAGCCCACGCGCCUAGAGCCCAUGCUCCGCAACAAGAGAAGCCACCGCAAAUGAGAAGGCCACACACCACAACAAAGAGUAGCCCCCGCUAGCCUCAAUUAGAGAAAGCCCGUGCGCGGCAAAGACCCAACCAGCCAAAAAUGAAUAAAUAAAUUAAAAAAAAAAAAAAAAGAGUGAAGAGUAACCCAGUAACCUCUUUCUCAUUAUCAGCAAACAUUUUAUGAACACAUACAAGUGGAUAUGGUCACUGGACCCACAGUCAUCUCUUCUGAAUUAAAGUAGAUUGUUUUCCCAAAUGGAAUAAAAAUUGUAAAACUCAUAUAACAACCUUCAUUUAUGCUUUCUAGAUCAAACAUUCUAAAAUGAGGUAGUAAUAUUCAUAGUGUGAUAAAUUAUUAAAUGCCUCUUCCACCUUUUUCUCUUUCUCUGAUUCUCCCCCUUUCUCUGCCUUUCCACUAUGUCACCCUUUCAUUUAAAAAAUCUAACCUUGGUGAAUGCCAAAUUAAGAUCAAUGGACAUGACUAUUAAAAAUAAGAAAAAGUAAAGUUUAUCGCUCCUAAAAAUAAUAAAAAGUAAGGUUUAUCGCUCCUCUUUCAUCUAGCACCUACUGCUGAGUGCCUCCUAUAUGUCACACAUUGGCUAGGUGCUGGAGACCCUAUGUUGAAUAAUAUGGAUGGAAUCCCUUGUCUCUUUCAUUCUUUGGGGAGAAAGAGAUGUAAUUUGAAGGAGCUGAUAAAGAAACUAGAGGUCCUUAGAGACCUCCAUGUAAUUACAAAGAAAACACUCCAGAAAACUAAAAUGGCAAAUAUAUUUAAGGGCUGAAUUCUGCAAAUCUCUCUCCAUUGCCGGGUGGCCUGGUGUUCAAGACUGUCAGGAGAAGAGGAGGAGGUUUCUCUGCCUGGUCCGCCGUGUUCAGCUUGUUGGGCUCCUGCAGAGUGUGUGAUUUUUUUUCAGCAAUGCCUAGCAGCCAGCAGCAAGUGACCCCUAUCUGUGGCAGCUUCCCCAGCAUACGGCCUUCAGGAGACGUCCCAGCUGAGGGUCCAGGAUGGUGCGUCUGAGCCAUCAUCUCUGAGGCUGGCUUCUCAGCACACCAAGCCCCCACCACCGAGAGCUUCCUAGGGGAGGGCCACAGUUUAGCACCUUUCCGUGAAGAGUUGGUGGGCCUGGCAUCUCCUCUUUUACGGCAUCCCAGGCCCCCGCAGCCUGCAGACUUCCGAGACCCAGCACCUCCUGGGGUGCCCCAUCUCAGCACCAGGGGCAAUGUCUGCUACUGUAUCUGCUAUUCUUGCAUUUGUUAGCAUUCUCGUGGCUUGAAUUAGUCAAUGCCUCAUUCCCAAAAGCCCCUGGAAAUUCUUUAUAUUAAACUUCCUCUAUUCAA